GGCGGGGGCGCGGGCGGCAGUGGCGGGAGCGGCCCCUCGGCCCUCUCAAUCUGGCUGCCCAGUUACCGCUUCCGCUUACCGCCGCCGCUCCCGCU
rnacentral:pre_miRNA from 1 species